rnacentral:rRNA from 1 species
GUAAUACCGGCAGCUCAAGUGGUCGUCGCUUUUAUUGGGCCUAAAACGUCCGUAGCCUGUUUGGUAAAUCUGUGGGUAAAUCAACUCGCUCAACGAGUUGAAUUCUGCAGAGACUGCCAGACUAGGGACCGGGAGAGGUGUGGGGUACUCGAGGGGUAGGGGUAAAAUCCUGUCAUCCUUCGAGGACCACCAGUUGCGAAGGCGCCACACUGGAACGGAUCCGACGGUCAGGGACGAAGCCUAGGGGCACGAACCGGAUUAGAUACCCGGGUAGUCCUAGGUGUAAACGCUGUGAACUUGGUGUCGGGGGUCCGCAAGGGGUCCCCGGUGCCGGAGUGAAGAUGUUAAGUUCACUGCCUGGGGAGUACGGUCGCAAGGCUGAAACUUAGUAAUACCGGCAGCUCAAGUGGUCGUCGCUUUUAUUGGGCCUAAAACGUCCGUAGCCUGUUUGGUAAAUCUGUGGGUAAAUCAACUCGCUCAACGAGUUGAAUUCUGCAGAGACUGCCAGACUAGGGACCGGGAGAGGUGUGGGGUACUCGAGGGGUAGGGGUAAAAUCCUGUCAUCCUUCGAGGACCACCAGUUGCGAAGGCGCCACACUGGAACGGAUCCGACGGUCAGGGACGAAGCCUAGGGGCACGAACCGGAUUAGAUACCCGGGUAGUCCUAGGUGUAAACGCUGUGAACUUGGUGUCGGGGGUCCGCAAGGGGUCCCCGGUGCCGGAGUGAAGAUGUUAAGUUCACUGCCUGGGGAGUACGGUCGCAAGGCUGAAACUUA